GAAGGUGCCUUUCUCUGCAGCGGGUGGGGCCGGGGACACUGUGUCCUGCUGGCUGGGCUUUAUCUCUGCCAGCACCGGCCAGGGAGCUGAUUCCUGAGCUCCGCAUGCUCCACACAGCAGGGUUCUUGUUAAAUUAUCCAGGCUGGUCUCAAAAUUGUGAUCCUCCUGCCUCAGCCUCCCCAGUACCUGGGAUUAUAGGUGUGGGCCACCAUAUCCAACUGUACGGAUUCCUUUCAGACCAAGAAGAGGCCAAACCAACCUGUGAACACAGUGCUCACCUCCCGGGGAAGAUGGGGACAGGAGUCAUAGCAGUGGAGGGGACGAGAGAACUUUCUGGGGUGAUCGAAAUGUCUUCUUUCGAUGGUGACCCAUCAAGCAAGAACUCCUCUAAUGCUCAGGCUACUUGCCUCCCAUUGUAUGUUAAUUCUAUUUCAAUUAA